CAAUCAGACUUGGGAGGCGAUCCCUGAAGUCCUUCUUCUAGGCUGGAUACGAAGUCUUUGGAGAGCGUCUGCUGCACGGCUUUCCAUACUCUUGGCAACACGAGCAGCUCGCCGUAGCCCUGCUUGAUCUGGCCAUGAUCUAGUUUGGAAGUUGACCACUGGUCCUUUACCAGGAUGGCAAUGCUUCUCAAUCAUGCGGGAGUCACUUCGAGUCUUCUUUGUCACAGCCAUCUGCGUCAGAGGUUAGCGCAUUCAGCUCGAACCCACCUCCGAAGAACAACGCACAAAAGCAGGGCUAUUUCAGCAAGGGCGCAGCAGACGGCAGUGCGGACGCCCCCAGGACUUCAAACAGUACCAUGGAACGGCACGCCCGAAGAAGAGCAGGCAAGAGCUCUUUACGGCGCCUCAGGCACUCCUACUUGUUCACCUUGGUAAAUAGUCUUGCAGCCCAU
rnacentral:lncRNA from 1 species